rnacentral:rRNA from 1 species
AUUGAACGCUGGCGGCAUGCUUUACACAUGCAAGUCGAACGGUAACAGGCCGCAAGGUGCUGACGAGUGGCGAACGGGUGAGUAAUGCAUCGGAACGUGCCCAGUCGUGGGGGAUAACGCAGCGAAAGCUGCGCUAAUACCGCAUACGAUCUCUGGAUGAAAGCGGGGGACCGAAAGGCCUCGCGCGAUUGGAGCGGCCGAUGUCAGAUUAGGUAGUUGGUGGGGUAAAGGCCCACCAAGCCAACGAUCUGUAGCUGGUCUGAGAGGACGACCGGCCAAGCUGGGACUGAGACACGGCGCAGACUCCUACGGGAGGCAGCAGUGGGGAAUUUUGGACAAUGGGCGCAAGCCUGAUCCAGCAAUGCCGCGUGCAGGAAGAAGGCCUUCGGGUUGUAAACUGCUUUUGUACGGAACGAAACGGUCCGGGUUAAUACCCUGGGCUAAUGACGGUACCGUAAGAAUAAGCACCGGCUAACUACGUGCCAGCCGCCGCAGUAAAAC